UACAAAGGAAUUGACGGGGCCCGCACAAGCGGUGGAGUAUGUGGUUUAAUUCGAUGCAACGCGAAGAACCUUACCUGGUCUUGACAUCCCGGAGACCCUUAGGAAACUAGGGGGUGCUUCCAUCUGGAAGAAUCUGGAGACAGGUGCUGCAUGGCUGUCGUCAGCUCGUGUCGUGAGAUGUUGGGUUAAGUCCCGCAACGAGCGCAACCCUUGCCUUUAGUUGCCAGCAGUUCGGCUGGGCACUCUAAAGGGACUGCCGGUGUUAAACCGGAGGAAGGUGGGGAUGACGUCAAGUCCUCAUGGCCUUUAUGACCAGGGCUACACACGUACUACAAUGGCCGAUACAAAGGGCAGCGACACUGCGAGGUGAAGCCAAUCCCGUAAAAUCGGUCUCAGUCCGGAUUGGAGUCUGCAACUCGACUCCAUGAAGUUGGAAUCGCUAGUAAUCGUGGAUCAGCAUGCCACGGUGAAUACGUUCCCGGGCCUU
rnacentral:rRNA from 1 species